AAAGAAACCGAUGAAACAAUAAGAAGGUGUGCGAGCGUUAGAUCGGAAUUACUGGGCGUAAAGCGCACGCAGGCGGUUAUUUAAGCUAGAUGUGAAAGCCCCGGGCUCAACCUGGGAAUAGCAUUUAGAACUGGGUAACUAGAGUCUUGGAGAGGGGAGUGGAAUUCCAGGUGUAGCGGUGAAAUGCGUAGAUAUCUGGAGGAACAUCAGUGGCGAAGGCGACUCCCUGGCCAAAGACUGACGCUCAUGUGCGAAAGUGUGGGUAGCGAACAGGAUUAGAUACCCUGGUAGUCCACACCGUAAACGCUGUCUACUAGCUGUGUGUGAAUUUAAUUCGUGCGUAGCGAAGCUAACGCGAUAAGUAGACCGCCUGGGGAGUACGGCCGCAAGGUUAAAACUCAAAUGAAUUGACGGGGGCCCGCACAAGCGGUGGAGCAUGUGGUUUAAUUCGAUGCAACGCGAAGAACCUUACCAUCCCUUGACAUCCAGAGAAUUUGGCAGAGAUGCCUCAGUGCCUUCGGGAGCUCUGAGACAGGUGCUGCAUGGCUGUCGUCAGCUCGUGUCGUGAGAUGUUGGGUUAAGUCCCGCAACGAGCGCAACCCUUGUCCUUAGUUGCCAGCCUUAAGUGGGGCACUCUAAGGAGACUGCCGGNGACAAACCGGGAGGAAGGUGGGGACGACGUCAAAGUCAUCAUGGCCCCUUACGGGAUGGGGCUACACACGUGCUACAAUGGCAAGUACAGAGGGAAGCGAGACAGUGAUGUGGAGCGAACCCCUAAAGCCUGUCGUAGUUCGGGAUGGGAGUCGCG
rnacentral:rRNA from 1 species